GAGAGAGAGAGGGAAAAGAAAGAAAAACAGUAUCCAGAGAAAUAAUUUCUGUGAAUUCCCAAUCCUCAGUUUUCAGUAUUUCACAGUCCAUGUAUUCUGGUAUCCUUUUAUUCUUCUCUCUUCUCAUGGUAAGAGGAGAACAGAAAAGUAACACAUGUCCAGAUAUGUUAUAAAAGAGGAUUAAUAUCAUCAAGAGGGGAGUUUAUUUGUCUUCGUGUAAACAUUCUAUUCUAGAGAAUUAGAAACACACUGGGGAGCAGAUUCCUUCAAAAGACCGUAAGAUCAGUUAUUGAUGCAUUCAUUUUCACCAUUGCAGGAUGCAAAGUUGUCAGAAAAGACAACCUCCUUGAUCUCAAGCCAGCUGGGACACUGCCAGGAUGUGACUGGGAUCCUUUAAGGAGGACAGUUAUGUAUCAAAGGGGUAAAGAAGAAGGGGAGAAGGAGGAGGAGGAGAAAGGGGGAAGGAAGGGAGAGAGGGAUGAAAAAUGCAGGACAGUUCUCUGGGUGGCCUUGGACCAGCCCUAUUGUCCUCCCUUUUCUCAUUUCUGGUUCUUAAGAAUAGCUGUAGAACAUGUUGGGAAUGCAACAUUCUGAGAUAAGGAGGGCUGAUCGGAACAGCCUGAGCUCUGUGCUUGGUGCCCUGCCUUUCUGAUAUGAUAACCUUCAAUGUUUUAGCUGAGCAAAUCUCACUGCCCCAGGGCAUAAAAGCCAGGGUGAGAGGCUUUCUGGGGUCCCUCAGCUGAUAUAAGUCGGGUAUGCAUGGAUGACACUCCAUCUAUCCUGGGCAGAUUCCUUGAGCCUUGGAGACUGGCUCACAAUGUGUCGUAGGCUUCUGUUGUCCCUUGCUGCCUGUCUGUAAGUAGUAAAAGAUCUCUUCAUGCAGCUUGUUGUAUGCAUGAGUGUUUUUCUCUCACUGGACUCAGACAAGUUGGUGAUCAGUGCACAGUGAACCUGCUUCACAACAGUGGAGAAGGAAUUCCAGAUUGUGACCGAAUUGCAGAUGAUGGGCUCGGGUUGCUCCCAGAUAAGAUGUGUUCUUCCAGGCCCUUGGUCCCUCACUCACCCAAGAAUAGGGGAGAGGACCCAGCCGAGCAUGGGUUUUGCUCUGUGGCCCAGGCUGGAGUGCAGUGGCACAAACAGAGCUCAUUGCUGUCUAUCUUCUGGGCUCGAGGGAUCUUCCCUCCUCAGUCUUCUAAGUAGCUAGGACUACAGGUAUGUACCACUACACCCAGAUAAUUUUUUAAAAAUUGUUUUGUAGACAUGAGGUCUCCCUUUGUUGCUCAGGUUGGUCUUGAACUCCUGGGCCUAAGGUAUCCUCCCGCCUUGGCCGUCCAAAGUGCUGGAAUUAGAAGCAUGAGCUUUUAAAUAAAAAUUUAUUUAUUUUUAGCAUUUAUUUUAAAAUAGGCUCUAUAUGUUUGUGACUGUUUAAAAAUAAAUGCUAAAAACAAAUAAAUAAACAGAAAAGGAAGUCUUUGUCUUUUACGAGUGUCCUCUUAUCUCUGCUGUCCUCUUAUAUCUUUACUAUAGUUAUUUCUAUAAAUUUAUCAUCUACUCUACCAAAUGUCUGUAACUGUACACAUUAGAAGGAUUCAAACAUACCCAUCCUCCAUAAUGCCUAGCAUCAUGCUAAAUAUGUAAUAAGUAAUCAAUAAAUAUUGAAAAAUUAAGUGAUAAUAUAUAUUAAAUUUUGGCUUAUUCUUGCUCUUGCUUGCAUUAAUAUUUCUCUUAUUAUGAUAGGUUUUGAAGAAUAUAGGAGUUUAACAUCAAAUAAGUACAUUUUGUUUCAUAGUUUAAUAGUCUGAAAAAUUUGAUUAUUUUCACAGAUGCAGGUAGAAUAUUAAUUUUAUGAGAAAUUUCUUAAAGGAUGAAGCAUUCUACAAAGUAUAUUUUAUCAAUGACUAUGGGUGUGUAUUAAAGUUUUUUGAUAUUUGAUUUAUUAAAACCUAGUGACAUUUAUUCAUCUAGGAGUAAAAUAAUAAGGAUAUACCUGAAGCAAAAAGAACACCACUAACUUUUAAAAUCAAGACAAAAUGUACAGUAAACGCAAUCAGGUAUAUGCAUGUUAUAAGUAGGAUUGGCACAGAGCUGAUGAAUAAAAAAAUGUGGUUUCAGAAGAAAUUACCCAAAAGACGGAUUAUUGGACAUGUGUAGAAUGAAAAUUUCCAGUCUCACUUGACAAUGGUGCUUUUAGGCUCAAUGUACUCUUUUAGUAUCAUGCAGCCAAAAACUCACUUGGAGCUUUAACCAGGGAUUGUAAGCAGAUGAACAGGUUAAGUUACAUUCUACCUAGACCUGCAGGAUAGAUCAAAUGUUCGAUCCACAUACUUGGAAGUUGGUCCUAAGAAAAGAUAUCCUAUGUGAGUCCAACUUGUGGAAAACCAGGACACCAAUACUAGGAAGUAAAAUAGCAGAGACCUGUGGAUGUUGGGACAACUACAGAUGGAGGAGGCGAGGAUGAAAGGGUUUAGGGCAGAAUUAAGCCACUGAGCUCUCAGUGGAAUAUCUAAAAGGGAAUUCUUUUAAGGUCUAGGAGCACCUCCUAAGGUGUCAUAACCAUCACUCAGCUGUAGUAACUCAAUAUGCCUUUCCUAGAUUAUGCCUUGACUGAGGAAAUUUUCCCUUGGUUUACUACUCUUAUAAAUUCUGAUGACAUUUCACUCUAAGCACCUAAUUACUCAGUCAUAUUUUCCUCUCUAGUUCCUACUUCUAUAGACAGACUUCUUACUCAUACCUUGAAGUCCUGUUCCUCUGCUACUCCAUAUCGUGGUCUCUUUUCUGUUUAGUCAAUACUCACAUGUACCUAACACUACAGACAGAUCCUCCUUUUCAAUUCCACUUUAGUUUUUAUAUUUUCUUAAAAUAUAAAAUAGUUUUUCAUAAAAACUACAUAAUGUUUAACCUGUCUGGUAACAGCCUAUGCCUGAAUGUAGUAAAGAUUUGUUUCUGUGCAUGUCCCAAUAGCCUUAUCUAUUGCCAAUCUACAUUCUUGAAUCUUCAUUUUAAGUAAAAGCACAUCCAGCAGAUAUUGACUCAACCUUGGUCUUAUUUUUUUUAGCUUGGUGUAAUGAGAUUACAAGGCAAGGGGCUUAAUUAUAGAAUAAAGAAAAGAAAAUGAAAAAAAUUUUGUGACUGGGAAAAAUGAGAUAGAAAUAAGGCUUGUGGGAUCUGAAAGACCCACUUAUACCCAAUUGGCGCUAUCUUUUAAUUACUUCCCAAUAAUCUCAGCAAAACAGAUUGGGUUCCCUAAAUCAUGGGCCUUUGUUAUAGAAAUACUCUGCUAAGAAAUGCUAAUAUAACUUCAGGCAAUUAUAUAUUGUUUAUAAGGGAGAAAUUUCUAGUUAUACAUAUAGCAUGGUGACUGAUUAUAUAUAGUAUGUGUAUGCUAUAAGAUGGAUUUACUAUUAUUUUAGUACAUUCAAUUUAAACAAGUUAAGCAAACAUUUGUUCCUUUUGCUCAAUAUAAUAGUAACAAUGGCUCUAUGAAGGAAUAUGUCCAGCAGUGUAUGUUAUUUUUGGCAUAAUAUGUUGCUUUCUUCUGUAUAGUAUGCUCUAUGUAGUUGGGAUUAGUGUCAACUAAUACAACAGAAACAAAACAAAACAACAGUAGCCUAAACAAUAUGGAUAUUUAAUUAUCUCUCAUGAUCAUAUUCUAGAGGUAUUUGUUCCAGGACUCAUAUAGUGGCUUCUUGACAUCAUCAGGGGCUUGGGCUUAUUUUGGGUUCCACAAACUUAGCAGGUGGUUUCUACCAUGAGAUGCUACAGCUCCAGCCAUUAUGCCCACAUUCCAGGAUAAGAAGAAAAGGUAGCAAAGGACGUUGGUUCAUUUCCCUCCUCAUUUUGAAGGAGCUCAAUGACAAAAUGGGCAUGUUAAUAUGACCAGACUAAGCUCCAAGGGAGGAAAGAAAAUAUAGUUCUUUUAGUGGGUGGCAAGUGCACAGUUAAAAAUUGUAGUUCUAAUAAUGAGAAAUAAGGAGAAAAUGGAUUUUGAGAGGUAAAUAAAAAUCUCAUUGUAGGCCUUCCCUAAUUCACUGUUUUUCAUUUUAUAUGUCACAGUGGGAAGCUACUGUUACAGUACCUUGUUAUAAUUUAAUUUUAGAGGCAUUCCCAUAUUGUGUAAGGACCUGGGGAUUUAAAUAAGAUAUUGCUCCUAUGUAUGGAGUGCUUAUAUGUACUAGAAAAAUAAAGAGAUAAACAAUUUUGGGAUGAUGUGAUAAACCCAUUGACAGAGGUUCAACUGGCUGUCUAAGCACUUGCUCAUUAAUUGAUUUAUUUGUAUAAAAAAACUUACAAUGAUGUACAUUUGAAUUUUAUUUUCUUGCAAGUUAUCCUUCUUUAAAAGAAUAAAACUACAUAAAAGGUACAUUUUUGGUGUCUUUAUCCAUCAUUAUUUUAAAACAGGUAUUUUCAAAUUGUCAAAACAAAUAUGAUAAUUUAGUUAUCAAGCAUGAAAAAGAAAUUUAAAUAGCCACCAUUAUUCUGUGCAACCAAUCACAAGUAAAUUUGAUUUUUCAAAAAUAAUUUGGCACAUGCAUAAUCAGAGAAAUGGUACAGAGAACAGAAAAGGUCUCUCUAAUUUUCCCAGUAAAAUGUGUAGACAAACAAUAGCACAUGGAUAAACUCUUGUUUUAAACAAAAGAAGUUUCUUAUUAUUGUGGGUAGUAUCCUACCAAUGAAUGAUUUAUAAAGUGGAAUUUGUUUCUUCAAAUUCUUUUGAGGAUCAAUUUCUUCUAAAAAUUAAAGUUUUAAAGAAUACAGAGAUGUAUAGAUUAAUUCUUGUAACAUUCUCUUGGCAUUUUCAAGAUUCAUUUAUUAUUGAGGAUCAUAGGUAUUGUUUUUCAUACACUUGAUUGAAGAAAUGCCUUUUCAGACCUCUCUCGGCAAGUGUCAGAGUAAUUCAUGUCUUAGAUAAUCAACAGUUAUUUACAGUUUCAAUUAUAAAUGAUUAAGUGUCCUGUUCCCAAGAGUUUGUUAAACAGUGAAAUAACCCCUUCAUUUUAGCAUUCACACCCAAUAAUGUGAAGAUAAUGUUAUGCAUUUACUUAUAUUUGGCAUGCUGAUGUUUUCUUGGGAAAAAUACUAGUUUCAACUCUUUGUGACUGCAUAUACUUUUUUCAAGCCUCGUUAAAAUAUGAUUUAAGGUCACAGAUAUCAUCACAAAGAUUAUUAUACAACACUGAUACUAUGUCAAGCAAGCAAUCAGGAUUUGACUUAAUCAGAUAAUUUAACAUGAACACCUCUUGUUACUUACUUAUAUCCAAACUGGAGUAAAUAUUGUGACUAGAAGUUUUUUCCUGCAUGUGUUACUGUUUAAAAGAGAGUCAUGAUUCUAAAAAGUGAAGACACUCACAGUGUAGCUUUUAUUAUUCAAAUAUUCUGUCUAUUUUGGAAAUCAGAAAAAAUGUAAAGUAGAAGAAAAAUCAUAUAUACACCAUGAUAGUUUCUUUUUUCUAAAGUAAGGUGUUUUAGACUAUUUCAUAAAAUAAACAAAGUACUAAAUUAUGGAAAUUAUAAAAAGAAUAGAAAAUUGGAAAAAUUCAUAGUCUUAUUAAUAAUUAAUUUUUUUUUUGAGAUGGAGUUUCACUCUUGUUGCCCAGGCUGGAGUGCAAUGGUAUAAUCUUGGUUCACUGCGACCUCCACUUCCCAGGUUCAAGAGAUUCUCCUGCCUCCGCCUCCCAAGUAGCUGGGAUUACAGGCCUGCAACACCACACCUGGCUAAUUUUGUAUUUUUAGUGGAGAAGGAGUUCACCAUGUUGGCCAGGCUAGUUUUGAACUCCUAAUUUCAGGUGAUCCACCCACCUUGGCCUCCCAAAUUGCUGGGAUUAAAGGCUGCCAUGCCUGGUCAAUAAUUAUUUAAAAUAUAAAUCUUAAAAUGUAAUUCUUGAUUUAAGAAUAAAAUUUUUUUGUUUCUUGAAUUAAUCAUUUUUCUCCUACUAACACAUUAUAAUAAUUAUUUUCCUUUUUUAAAAAAAACUUUUCUGAAAAAAUAUAUAUAUACUAAAAUAAACAAAAAUAUAUGUGAAUUAUUAUGAAGUAAAUAUGCCUGGGUAUCUGCACUGAGGUCAAGAAAUAGAACAUUAUCAACACUCAGAAGACUGCCUCAUGAGUCAUCAAAUCAGUAUUCUCUCCCUUUGUCCACGAGAUAACCACUGUUCUGACUUCUCAGAUUAUAAUAUAAUUUUGUCUAUGUUUAAAUUGUAUGUUAACAUAAUCCUAUAGUACUCUUUGUGUCUGGCUUCCUUGCCUCAAUAUUACCUGUAGAAGAUUAACCCAUGUUGUUCUGAUGUACCCAGAGGCCAUUCAUUUUCACUGUUUUGUAGUAACCCAAUGUCUGAUUAAAACAAUCAGUGAAAAUUCUAGGCCAUUUUCUUUUCAAGCAUUACUUCUGCCCUGUGACCUCUCUUUUCUCCAGUUGCACAUAUAAAAGACCCUUUUACCUCUUUACUGUAUCCUGUAUGUUUUCUAUACUCUUUUCUAGAUGCUCUAUUCAUUUGUCCCUCCAUGCUUUAGGUUGCUUAUUUUCUUUUUUCUUAUCUUCUAGUUUACUAAUUCUUUCUUUAGUCAUGUCCAAUUUGCUGUUGAAAAUCUAUCCAUUAAGUUUUCUUUUUUGACUAGUGCACCUUUUAGAGUUCCUAAA